rnacentral:rRNA from 1 species
CUACAGAGGGUGCAAGCGUUAUUCGGAAUUACAGGGCGUAAAGCGCGCGUAGGCGGAUGAUUAAGUCAGUUGUGAAAGCCCUGGGCUCAACCUAGGAACUGCAUCUGAUACUGGUCGUCUAGAGUUUAAGAGAGGGAAGUGGAAUUCCAGGUGUAGCAGUGAAAUGCGUAGAUAUCUGGAGGAACAUCAGUGGCGAAGGCGACUUCCUGGCUUAAAACUGACGCUGAGGUGCGAAAGCGUGGGUAGCGAACGGGAUUAGAAACCCUAGUAGUCC